AAGGAGCACCACGAGAAACAUCCCCGGUUGGUGGGGGUGUGUGCCGUGUGGAGUCGGUUGCUGUAGUGGCGCCGGCUGGGUGCGCAACAAACGUGUUCAUCCCUGUGAAACGGGUGUUUUUUGGGGGUGGCGGGAUCACCGGACACACUAUUGGGCUUUGAGGCAACACGCCUGUGUUGUCGCCCCGUCUUGGUGGUGGGGUGUGGUGUUUGAUUUGUGGAUAGUGGUUGCGAGCAUC
rnacentral:misc_RNA from 1 species